rnacentral:lncRNA from 1 species
AGUGGCUCUUGCACUUGGGUGGAGCCCGCAGGGAAGGGCGUUCCCACCCCGGCCCCUGCUGGUCACCAGCACCGUGGCUGCUGUGGGAGAAAGGGGGCUCCUGUCCCAGCUGCACUGAAGACCUGGAAUGGGAUAAAAAUGAGACGAGCCGCCCUCCCUGCCCACCGCAGGCCCAGCCCCGUCCUGGCCAUAUCAUUUGACCUUCUUGGCAGUCCUGAGAUGGUCCAGAUAUUCUCAUGCCCAUUUUACAGCUGAGGAAACCAAGGCUCAGAGUUUCGGGCAGUUACCUCCGACACACAGAGAGGAAGGCCGGACCCUGAUUCCGUCCAGACCCUCUGGACGGACAAAAGGCCUGUGCUGAGCUGAGCUGUUUCCUUUCACCCUUGGGGGUCCCCAGGGAUGAGUGAGGAGGGCCUGCUGGCCAGGGCAGGGUG